rnacentral:lncRNA from 1 species
GUAAAAAAAAAUAGAAAAAGCCUUUGCCUCUCGGUCCUUGGAGUAUAGAUUCAAGAGUGGUGGAGGUCAAGUAUUGCUCCAGGGCGUAGACCUGAGUGGGCCUGCAAGAUAGCCUUGAGCCAUUCAAUUUGCAUCCAUCCUAAUAAUUUGCAAGCACACUAAUUCAUUACGACGGUCAAGAGCCUUGUCUCAUCACCGAGGGUUAUUACUCCUACAUACGUACAUACAUAAUGGGACUGUUGCCGUCAGCCUUCCUACGUAGCAAAGCGUUGCAAAUGAGCCCACUCCAUUUCGUGAUUUAUCGUAUUGGAUAUAUCUAUUCCAGGACCAUAGAAGGUGGCGGCCUUAAUAAUAAAUAAAAUGAAAUAAAACCCUAGAAUACCAGCACACAACUGCCUAUUUUGGAGUCCAAAAGUACGGUGGUCUAAGAAUAAGUGUGGAAUCUCUAAUUUUUCUUCUCUUUUUCUUCUGUUUAUAGACAAAAUAAGGGACUAUCUCAAGCCA